rnacentral:tRNA from 1 species
GUCUCUGUGGCGCAAUCAGUUAGCGUGUUCGGCUGUUAACUAAAAGGUUGGUGGAUCUAGCCCACCCAGGAACG